rfam:Angiostrongylus costaricensis strain Costa Rica genome assembly, scaffold: ACOC_scaffold0001348
CCAACGGCCCUCUUCAGGGCCACAAUCGCAGUCGACUACAUGACUU